rnacentral:lncRNA from 1 species
AAAUUUCUGAAGUUUUGAUCCUGAGUCAAAGUUUGAAAGAAGAACUUGAACACAAGGCGCAAGAACAAGUGAAGACUGUGGAAGAGAAGGAAGGCUUUGAGUCAAAGGUGAAAGAUCUAGAAUUGGAGCUGGAAUCCUUGAAGAACCUGAAAGGUGAAUUAGAAACUCAACUUGAGAAAAAAGGUAUUGAGAUUUCAGAACUUUUAAUCUCAAAUGAAAGUCUGAAAGAAGAACUUGAAAAGAAGGUGCAAGAACAAGCGAAGACUGUGGAAGAGAAGGAAGGUUAUGAGUCAAAGGUCAAAGAUUUAGAAUUGGAGCUGGAAUCCUUGAAGAACCUGAAAGAUGAAUUGGAAACUCAACUCGAGAAAAAGGGUAUUGAGAUUUCAGAACUUUUAAUCUCAAAUGAAAGUCUGAAAGAAGAACUUGAAAGCAAGUCCAAGGAUCAAGAGAAGACUCUAGAAGAGAAGGAAGGCUACGAGUCAAAGGUCAAAGAUCUAGAAGUGGAGCUUGAGUCAUUGAAAAACCAGAAAAAUGAAUCAGAAAUGCAACUUGAGAAAAAGAGUAUUGAAAUUUCAGAAUUCUUAAUUCUGACUCAAAGUCUGAAAGAUGAAGUUGAAAACAAGUCAAGGGAUCACGCGAAGACCACAGAAGAGAAGGAAGGCUAUGAGUCUCAGGUCAAAGAUCUAGAAUUGAAGCUCGAAUCACUAAACACACUGAUAGUUGAUUUAGAAACAGUAAUUGAGAAAAAAGCUACUCAAAUUUCAGAACUCUUAGUCUCAAGUGAAAGUCUGAAAGAGGAACUUGAAAGCAAGUCAAAAGAACAAGCCAAGACCAUGGAAGAGAAAGAAGUUUGUGAAUCAAAGGUUAAAGAUUUGGAAUUGGAGCUCGAGUCCUUGAAAAAACUGAAAAAUGAAUUAGAAACUCAACUCGAGAAAAAGGGUGUUGAGAUUUCAGAACUCUUAAUCUCGAGUGAAAUUCAGAUAGAAGAACUUCAAAACAAGUCACAAGAUCAAGCAAAGACUUUGGAAGAAAAGGAAGGGUUGGAGUCAAAGGUCAAAGAUCUAGAAUUGGAGCUUGAAUCACUGAAGAACCUGAAAAAUGAAUCAGAAAUGCAUCUCGAGAAAAAGGGUAUUGAAAUCUCAGAAUUCUUAAUUCUGACUCAAAGUCUGAAAGAAGAAGUUGAAAGCAAAUCCAGGGAUCACACGAAAACCAUUGAAGAGAAAGAAGGCUAUGAGACACGUGUCAAAGAUCUGGAACUGAAGCUUGAAGAAUUCAACAACCUGAAAAUUGAAUUAGAAGCACAACUUGAGAAAAAGGGUACUGAAAUUUCAGAAGUCUUGAUCCUGAGUCAAAGUCUGAAAGAAGAACUUGAAAGCAAGUCAAAAGAACAAGCGGAAGAGAAGGAAGGAUAUGAGUCAAAGGUCAAAGAUCUGGAACUAAAGCUCGAAUCCUUGAACACCCUGAAAAAUGAAUUAGAAAUUGAAGUUGAGAAAAAGGGUAGUGAAAUUUCAGAACUUUCAGUCCUGUGUCAAAGCCUGAAAGAAGAAAUUGAAAGCAAGUCAAAAGAGCAAUUAAAGACCAUGGAAGAGAAGGAAGGGUACGAAUCACAAGUCAAAGAUCUUGAAUCAAAGCUCGAAUCAUUGAACAGUUUGAAAGUUGAAUUAGAAACAGAAGUGGAGAAAAAGAGCACUCAAAUUUCAGAACUUUCAGCAUUGAGUGAAAGUCUGAAAGAGGAACUUGAAAGCAAGUGUAAAGAACAUGCAAAGAUUGUGGAAGAGAAGGAAGGGUAUGAGACAAAAGUCAAAGAUCUAGAACUUGAGCUCGAAUCUUUGAACAACCUUAAAAGUGAAUCAGAAAUGCAUAUUGAGAAAAAGGGUAGUGAAAUUACAGAACUCUUAAUCCUGUCUCAAAGUCUGAAAGCUGAACUUGAAAGCAAGUCAAAAGAUCAUGCAAACACCAUGGAAGAGUAUGAGACAAAAGUCAAAGAUCUUGAAUUGAAGCUUGAAUCAUUGAACAGUUUGAAAGUUGAAUUAGAAACAGAAGUUGAGAAAAAAGGUACUCAAAUUUCAGAACUUGUAGUCUUGAGUGAAAGUGUGAAACAGGAACUUGAAAGCAAAUCACAAGAUCAAGUGAAGACUUUGGAAGAGAAAGAUGGCUUUGAGUUGAAAGUCAAAGAUCUUGAAUUGGAGCUGGAUUCCUUGAAAAUCCUGAAGAAU